AAAAAAAAAAACCAUGGGUUUACGUGUCCAACAUUUGACUGUCCGUCUUAUAUGAAAUUUUUUUAUAAUUAGUAUUUUCAUUGUUGUUAGAUGAUAAAACAUGAUUAAUACUUUAUGCGUGACUUAUCCUUUUAAUUUUUUUUAUAAUUUUUUCAAAUAAGACGGACGGUCAAACGUUGGACACGGAAACCCAGGGUUUGUCUUUUU
rnacentral:pre_miRNA from 1 species